rnacentral:lncRNA from 1 species
GGAGAAGUCAUUCCACAUAGCAGAAAGAUCCACCAUUGCCUCUAGGGUUGCCAAGUCAGGAGCAUCUCAGACCCUUGUGAUGUCAUAAGAGAGGCCCCUGAUGAUGUCACAGGGAAGGACCCUGGAGAUGGAGGUUAAUUGGGAGAAUGGAGCAGAGGAGGAUAGACCCCCACACCCAGAGUUUCUAUGCUAUAAUUUCCAGCCAACUCCUACAAAGCUGAAUCUUGCAAGCUGUGUGCAGUCUUCUUAAUAUGUUGUUGUUGUUGUUGUUGUUGUGACUCUUGCUCACCUGGCAAUUCAAGCCUUCCACCUGCCCCCUGGAGGGUGGCCGGGCAAACCUAGAAAAUUCAGGUCAGACCUGGAGGUCUGGCAACCCUAAUUAGUUCCUAUUUGUAUCAAAGGCAGAUUUAGGGCAGCGUGACUGGUUGCCCCACACAGGGCUCCCAGCUGAGGGGGCACCUUUCCUACUCUUUCCCAAAGCCUAGUAAGUACAGUGGUACCUCGGGUUAAGUACUUAAUUCGUUCCGGAAGCCUGUUCUUAACCUGAAACUGUUUUUAACCUGAAGCACCACUUUAGCUAACAGGGCCUCCUGCUGCCACCGCGCCGCUGGAGCAUGAUUUCUGUUCUCAUUCUGAAGCAAAGUUCUUAACCCAAGGUACUAUUUCUGGGUUAACAGAUUCUGUAACCUGAAGCGUAUGUAACCCGAGGUACCACUGUACUUGCUUUAGGAAGGCGGCGUGAGGGCUCUGACAGAGUCCUGGAGUCCUCCCUUCUCCUUCCCUGUAAGUACUUGUCCAGCUUUGGGAAGGGGCUGGGGUGGAUAUAGAGGACCCUGCCAGAGCCUCAUGGCUCCUUCCCAGAGCCCAGCGCCUCGCUUACCCGACUUUGGAAAGGCAGCACAAGGGCUGGGGGUGGGCAUCAAAUUUCAGCCUUGCACAGGGCGCCAUAUUACCAAGGUCCCCCCCCGUUUGUAUGAAGUGUAAGACUUCUCCCCACACACUUCCAGGCAUUUCUUUGCCUAAGGACUAGGAACAUGAGUGAUGGUUGUUUUCUAAAGCAGUGGUUUAGACCACAACGCUACCCACUCAGCGCCACUGAGCCUCUUGGGCUUGCUGAUCGGAAGGUUGGCGGUUCGAAUCUGGGCAACAGGGUGAGCUCCUGUUGCUCUGUCCCAACUUCUGCCAACCUAGCAGUUUGAAAGCAUGCCAGUGCAGGUAGAUAAAUAGGUACCGCUGCAGCAGGAAGGUAAACAGUGUUUCCGUGCUCUCUGGCUCAUCACAUUGUGCCAGAAGUGGUUUAGUCAUGCUGGCCACAUGACCCGGAAAGCUGUCUGUGGACAAACGCCGGCUCCCUCAGCCUGAAAACGAGAUGAGCGCCGCAACCCCAUAAGUUGCCUUUGACUGGACUUAACUGUCCAGGGGUCCUUUACCUUUUUUAAAGCAAGCCAGCCAUGGUUUUCCUCAUACUGCAUUCUGCACCUGAUACUAGAAUCAGCGCAUCAGAAAACACUCUGUAUGUUCCUCCAAAGUGCCUGGAAGGGCAAUCCUGGAUGCAGUUCCUUGACCAUAAGCCCUGUUGAACACAGUGGGGCUUUCUUCUGAGUAAAACAUGCAUGCAGUCGCAAAGACUGACAGUCCAAAGAAAGGCAUCUUGCCGCAUCCAAAUAGGGCUGUGCUGAAAUAUUUAUGCACACCCUAAAUAAUAGAUUGGGUAGUGGCAAAAAAAGAGAGACAUCUCAUUUUAUGUACGUCUUUGCUGUCAUGUUUCAUUUUUAGCACUGGAGCAGGCACAAUAGUUUACGGAAUGUAACAACUACACCCCCAUCUGAAGCAAAAAAUAAUAUUUCCCCCCCCGCCUCCUUUUUUUAAGUGUCCAUCUUUUCAGCUUUUGCUAUUCCUCAUCCUAAGGGGAAGAACCACAUAGCUGGGUCCAGAUGCUCAACUGGUCAAGUCAGCAUUUGCCUCACGUCUUAUCUGUGGACACCUCUGCAAUUAAACUCUCCAAAUCA